rnacentral:lncRNA from 1 species
GUCACUCUAAUGGGAAAGAGAGAAAGAGGUGAAAAACAAAUUCAAUGACAAGCAACAAUUUUCCCAAUUAAAUGUUAUCAAGAAGGUAAACAAUAUUAUUAAAUCUCUUGUUUUGGACAAAAGAAUACAAUAAUAAUGCUGAUAUCUCUUUCCUUAGUCUGACAGGAUUGACACCAUACACCUUACAGUUGGACCGCUCAUCAGGGAGGCUGCGAAGGCGACAGUUGUUCAACACGUAUCUCUAUUAAAUUGAUCUCAGCGUUGGAUGAGAUGCUAAAACUUGGAUUGCGUUUCCAAAUGUAGGGAGGUUAGGAAGAACAAAGGAGAGGUUGAUUACAAUCAAAUUCAAAAGGGUGAUUCGUCUUCUUUUUCAGCUGGGUUGUGAAGGCAUAGCUUAGGGUGCUGGUGAUCUUGACUAGCUCCUCGUGGUUGUUGUUCUGGCUUGAAUCUUGUGUCAGGAAUCUUCUCAGGAUUAGGAUUAUUAUUAAAAAUAAUAACAGUUCAGAUGUCUUGGGGGUGAGGCUGUCUGUCAUGCCUCUCAGCCAAGUGUUCACAUCUUCCCCAUGGGCAAUGGGGUCUGCAGUCUGCGGCAUGUUUGCACGCUGAGGAGAAGAGAGACUGACACAGAUCUGUGUGGAGUAAAAGCCUAUGUGUAGUGGGACAACUAAGUGUUGUGUCAGUGAUUGUGAACCACUAGUGAAGUGUGGUGAUGACUGUGUUGUUCUCAGGGUGUCUAAGUAGACUAGAGAUGCGAAGACUUUGUCACUCUAAUGAGGAAGAGAGAAAAGAGGUGAAAAACAAAUUCAAUGACAAGCAACAAUUUCUGUUUUUCAAAUGAGGAAAAUUAAUUUUCCCAAUUAAAUGUUAUCAAGAAGAUAAACAAUAUUAUUAAAUCUCUUGUUUUGGACAAAAGAAUACAAUAAUAAUGCUGAUAUCUCUUUCCUUAGUCUUGACAGGAUUGACACCGUACACCUUACAGUUGGACCGCUCACCAGGGAGGCUGCGAAGGCGACAGUUGUUCAACACGUAUCUCUAUUAAAUUGAUCUCAGCGUUGGAUGAGAUGCUAACACUUGGAUUGCGUUUCCAAAUGUACUGAGACUCCAAGGCACACAGGGGAUAGGUGUUCAACACGUAUCUCUAUUAAAUUGAUCUCAGCGUUGGAUGAGAUGCUAAAACUUGGAUUGCGUUUCCAAAUGUAGGGAGGUUAGGAAGAACAAAGGAGAGGUUGAUUACAAUCAAAUUCAAAAGGGUGAUUCGUCUUCUUUGACAAGAUUGCGUAUUUCAUUCACUUAGAAUUAAUUGAUGGUUCUUACAUGUCCCUACAAAUGUUAAAAGUGAAGAGGAAAGGAAAGGAGAGAGAGGACGGAGAUGGUAAGUCUCAGUAGAGGUUAUAUCAACUACGAGGAGAGCGUUGUUUUAGUUGCUGUACAGCUAAUCAACAAAAUAAACUUUAAGUGAAAGAGUUGUCUUUCUAAUUUAUUUGAACUCGUAGUGAGGGAUAACAAUGUCUCCUUUAAGGGCUCAGGUGUGUCGUUCCCAAGCUAGGAUACACAGAGGAAAGAAAUGGUAAGAAAAGGUCAAAUUAAAAAGUAAUAAAUGGGCAAAAUAAGCAAAAAUUAAAUUAAAUAAAGGAGAAAAUCUAUGAAUAAAACAAUAGUGGCUAAGUGUAUAACCAAAACAGGAAGAAAGAGGGGUAAAACGCAAUAAAAUAAGUACAAGUCUGAAUAGAAUAUAUUCAGAUGGGUAAUAAAUUAGGUAGAAUAAGUUUAAACUUUCAAAGUUCAAGGCUUAUUCGUACCUAAAAUAAUUAGGCCCAAAAGAGAAUACUAGAAGUAAUGAUCAUAUGAAAUGAUCUGAGGGGGAAAUUUGAAUGAUUCCAAAUAAAUUUAAUGUUGCAAUUAAAUUUGAAUUUGACACAAUUAAUAAUUGUGAGUUAGUAUUUCCCUUUCUAGUAAAAUGCCAAUAAAUGGUAUCGUGAGAAAAGAGAGAAAUAAGAGAGAGAAAGAGACCAACAAGUGUUAGUUGAGAUGUUUAAAGGAUUAAA